AUUGAACGCUGGCGGCAGGCCUAACACAUGCAAGUCGAGCGGGUGAAGGGAGCUUGCUCCUGGAUUCAGCGGCGGACGGGUGAGUAAUGCCUAGGAAUCUGCCUGGUAGUGGGGGAUAACGUCCGGAAACGGGCGCUAAUACCGCAUACGUCCUGAGGGAGAAAGUGGGGGAUCUUCGGACCUCACGCUAUCAGAUGAGCCUAGGUCGGAUUAGCUAGUUGGUGGGGUAAAGGCCUACCAAGGCGACGAUCCGUAACUGGUCUGAGAGGAUGAUCAGUCACACUGGAACUGAGACACGGUCCAGACUCCUACGGGAAGCAGCAGUGGGGAAUAUUGGACAAUGGGCGAAAGCCUGAUCCAGCCAUGCCGCGUGUGUGAAGAAGGUCUUCGGAUUGUAAAGCACUUUAAGUUGGGAGGAAGGGCAGUAAGUUAAUACCUUGCUGUUUUGACGUUACCAACAGAAUAAGCACCGGCUAACUUCGUG
rnacentral:rRNA from 1 species